CCUUCCAGGAUAUCUUCAAACUCUUCAGCUCCAGCCCAACAGGCACCGUGGACAUGCACAGCAUGAAAGUUGCCCUGGGCAAUGUGGGUAUCCAGCUGAGUCCACAGGAGACGUUCGAGGCUCUGCGGCAGGCAGACUUGGAUGGUGAUGGAAUCGUAAGCUUCAUUGACUUCCUGGGUGUCUUCGAUGACAACCACCGCUUGGCUCAGUGCAUGGCCGGGUGAGGAACAGCCAGCUCUGUACCCCCAGGGACUGCAGACCCUGUUCUUGGAAAUGCUGUUCAAGCUGCUGGGCCGGGGCUUUGUGCCCUCCAAGUUGGCACGGGGGGUGAUGAGCUACUACUUCAAGAAGCAGCGGGCUCUGCGGCUCAGCCCAGGCUGCGGGGGUUGGGGGGCGCUCCCACGCGGGGCUCGCCUUCUGC
ensembl:lncRNA novel transcript